rnacentral:rRNA from 1 species
AUUGAACGCUGGCGGCAGGCCUAACACAUGCAAGUCGAGCGAGCGGCGGACGGGUGAGUAAUGUAUGGGGAACUGCCCGAUAGCGGGGGAUAACUACUGGAAACGGUGGCUAAUACCGCAUACUAUCGGAUGAACCCAGAUGGGAUUAGCUAGUGGGGGGGGUAACGGCUCACCAAGGCGACGAUCCCUAGCUGGUCUGAGAGGAUGAUCAGCCACACUGGGACUGCGACACGGCCCAGGUUCAUACGGUAGGCAGCAGUGGGGAAUAGUGAACAGGGGGCGCAAGCCUGAUGCAGCCAUGCCGCGUGUAUGAAGAGGGCCUUGGGGUUGUAAAGUACUUGCAUCGGGGAGGCGUUACCCGCAGAAGAAGCACCGGCUAACUCCGUGCCAGCAGCCGCGGUAAUUC